GUGUGUGUGUGUUUGUGCGCAUGUUAGAUUUUCAUCUCUCCAUCCCUUAUUCUUUUAUAUAUCAUGUAGCUUCUCAAGUUAGCUGUGCAGAUGUUAAAUUUGUUGUCACAAUUUCCAUGUGUCUCUUCCUCUUUUAAUUUCUUCCUUUUUUCCUUUUUUUGGGUUUAUUCUUUUCCUAUGGAUCGAGGGAUGAUUUAAGCCUAUGCCCACAUGUCCAAAAUAGUUUCUGCUCAUUGCCUUUGCUAUCGUGCUGUUGAACGGACGGAUCCGGAGUGUUUGGAAAAGUUCCAGAAGAUACA
rnacentral:misc_RNA from 1 species